rnacentral:rRNA from 1 species
ACGGAGGGUGCAAGCGUUAAUCGGAAUCACUGGGCGUAAAGCGCGCGUAGGCGGUUUGGACAGUAAGAUGUGAAAUCCCUCGGCUUAACCGGGGAACUGCAUUUGAUACUACCAGACUUGAGUGUCGGAGAGGGUGGCAGAAUUCCGGGUGUAGGAGUGAAAUGCGUAGAUAUGCGGAGGAACACCAGUGGCGAAGGCAGCCACCUGGAAUAAAACUGACGCUGAUGCGCGAAAGCGUGGGGAGCAAACAG